rnacentral:rRNA from 1 species
CAUGGAGGCGAGUCACCGGCGAGUUGCGGCACCGGCAACGAACAUGGAGGCGAGUCACCGGCGAGUUGCGGCACCGGUGGCGAACAUGCGGCAGCGAGGGUGCCACAGCGGCGCACUCAUGGUGAAGGCAUAGGAGGCGCGCCUCUUAUCGAACCAACGGCGACGGCGGCAAUCUGCGUGACAAGAUGGCAUUGGCGGCCAUCUACGUGUUACACCGACGACAUCGACGAUCUGGGUUUCAAGAGAGGAAUAAGUGACAACAAGGUUAAGGGGGUGAUUGUUAGAGUUAACCUUGUUGUUUUUGGUUUUUCAUUACAUUUACUUAGUGUCUUGCACGUAGACACGCUCAACCAUUAG